UUGGAGGGCAAGUCUGGUGCCAGCAGCCGCGGUAAUUCCAGCUCCAAUAGCGUAUAUUAAAGUUGUUGCAGUUAAAAAGCUCGUAGUUGAAUCUCGGGAUCAAUUUGCUGGUCGUGCCUCUGGUACGUACUGGUAUUAUUGGUUUCUCCCUUCUGACGAACCAUGAUGUCAUUAAUUUGAUGUCGUGGAGAAUCAGGACUGUUACUUUGAAAAAAUUAGAGUGUUUAAAGCAGGCAUUAGCUUGAAUACAUUAGCAUGGAAUAAUGAAAUAGGACGUUUGAUCCUAUUUUGUUGGUUUCUAGGAUUGACGUAAUGAUUAAUAGGGAUAGUUGGGGGCAUUAGUAUUCAAUUGUCAGAGGUGAAAUUCUUGGAUUUAUUGAAGACUAACUACUGCGAAAGCAUUUGCCAAGGAUGUUUUCAUUAAUCAAGAACGAAAGUUAGGGGAUCGAAGACGAUCAGAUACCGUCGUAGUCUUAACCAUAAACUAUGCCGACUAGGGAUCGGAUGAUGUUAAUUUUUUAAUGACUCAUUCGGCGCCUUACGGGAAAC
rnacentral:rRNA from 1 species